rnacentral:rRNA from 1 species
CGUGUAGGCUGCUCUGCAAGUCGGAUGUGAAAGCCCUGGGCUCAACCUAGGAAGUGCAUUCGAAACUGCAAAGCUUGAGUCCUGGAGAGGAAGGCGGAAUUCUCGGUGUAGAGGUGAAAUUCGUAGAUAUCGAGAGGAACACCGGUGGCGAAGGCGGCCUUCUGGACAGUGACUGACGCUGAGACGCGAAAGCGUGGGGAGCAAACAGGAUUAGAUACCCUGGUAGUCCACGCCGUAAACGAUGGGUGCUAGGUGUCGCGGGCUUUGACCCCUGCGGUGCCGUAGCUAACGCAUUAAGCACCCCGCCUGGGGAGUACGGCCGCAAGGCUAAA